GGCUCAGGAUGAACGCUAGCGGCAGGCCUAACACAUGCAAGUCGAGGGGUAGAGGAAGCUUGCUUCCUUGAGACCGGCGCACGGGUGCGUAACGCGUAUGCAAUCUACCUUGUACAGAGGGAUAGCCCAGAGUAAAUUUGGAUUAAUACCUCAUAGUAUUAUCGAGUGGCAUCAUUUGAUAAUUAAAGUUCCAACGGUACAAGAUGAGCAUGCGUCCCAUUGGUUAGUUGGUAAGGUAACGGCUUACCAAGACUAUGAGUGGGUAGGGGUCCUGAGAGGGAGAUCCCCCACACUGGUACUGAGACACGGACCAGACUCCUACGGGAGGCAGCAGUGAGGAAUAUUGGACAAUGGGCGCAAGCCUGAUCCAGCCAUGCCGCGUGCAGGAAGACGGUCCUAUGGAUUGUAAACUGCUUUUAUACAGGAAGAAACACCUCUACGUGUAGAGGCUUGACGGUACUGUAAGAAUAAGGAUCGGCUAACUCCGUG
rnacentral:rRNA from 1 species